GAUGAACGCUAGCGGCAGGCUUAACACAUGCAAGUCGAGGGGUAUAGGUUUUCGGACCUAGAGACCGGCGCACGGGUGCGUAACGCGUAUGCAAUCUACCUUUCACAGAGGGAUAGCCCAGAGAAAUUUGGAUUAAUACCUCAUAGUAUAGCAGUUUCGCAUGAAACCACUAUUAAAGUAUCAACGGUGAAAGAUGAGCAUGCGUCCCAUUAGCUAGAUGGUAAGGUAACGGCUUACCAUGGCUACGAUGGGUAGGGGUCCUGAGAGGGAAAUACCCCCAACUGGUACUAGGACACGGACCAGACUCCUACGGGAGGCAGCAGUGAGGAAUAUUGGUCAAUGGACGCAAGUCUGAACCAGCCAUGCCGCGUGCAGGAUGACGGUCCUAUGGAUUGUAAACUGCUUUUGUACGAGAAGAAACAACAUUACGUGUAAUGUCUUGACGGUAUCGUAAGAAUAAGGAUCGGCUAACUCCGUGCCAGCCGCCGCCGUAAGAC
rnacentral:rRNA from 1 species